rnacentral:lncRNA from 1 species
GUGGGUUGUAAAUUGAUGGGAGAACAAUGUCAAGGUGACAGAAUAGAUUUAAACUUCUGUGCACUAUUGAAUUCAUCCAAUGAUAUUCUCUAUUCAUUAAUACGAGAGUGAAAGAUGGAUGAUAAAAUAUACGUAUCACCUGAUGAGUUGAAAUAAUAUGAUUUGAUGACGAUGAGCCAAUGAGAUGUACUGGUGAGCACUUAGGAUCAC